AAAUUGAAGAGUUUGAUCAUGGCUCAGAUUGAACGCUGGCGGCAGGCCUAACACAUGCAAGUCGAACGGUAACAGGAAGCAGCUUGCUGCUUUGCUGACGAGUGGCGGACGGGUGAGUAAUGUCUGGGAAACUGCCUGGUGGAGGGGGAUAACUACUGGAAACGGUGGCUAAUACCGCAUAACGUCGCAAGACCAAAGAGGGGGACCUUCGGGCCUCUUGCCAUCAGAUGUGCCCAGAUGGGAUUAGCUUGUUGGUGGGGUAACGGCCCACCAAGGCGACGAUCCCUAGCUGGUCUGAGAGGAUGACCAGCCACACUGGAACUGAGACACGGUCCAGACUCCUACGGGAGGCAGCAGUGGGGAAUAUUGCACAAUGGGCGCAAGCCUGAUGCAGCCAUGCCGCGUGUAUGAAGAAGGCCUUCGGGUUGUAAAGUACUUUCAGCGGGGAGGAAGGCGACAAGGUUAAUAACCUUGUUGAUUGACGUUACCCGCAGAAGAAGCACCGGCUAACUCCGUGCCAGCAGCCGCGGUAAUACGGAGGGUGCAAGCGUUAAUCGGAAUUACUGGGCGUAAAGCGCACGCAGGCGGUCUGUCAAGUCGGAUGUGAAAUCCC
rnacentral:rRNA from 1 species